GUCCUCUAAAUAAGGACUAGUGUGAACGGCAUCACGAGGGCUUAACUGUCUCCCCCCUUUAAUCAAUGAAACUGAUCUUCUCGUGAAGAAGCGAGAAUGAAAAUAUAAGACGAGAAGACCCCAUGGAGCUUUAAACUCAUCACCACCUACUUUAAAUAAAUCAAUAUAUACAGUAGAAAUGUUAACGAUAGUUUUCGGCUGGGGUGGCCCUGGAGUAAAACACAUCCUCCAGAAUGAAUAUAAUAAUAUUAUUAAUCUAAGAGCCACAACUCAAAGAAUCAAAACCUUGACACCAUUGAUCCAUUAUUUGAUCAACGAACCAAGUUACCCUGGGGAUAACAGCGCAAUCCAUUUCAAGAGCCCCUAUCGACAAAUGGGUUUACGACCUCGAUGUUGGAUCGGGAUAUCCUAGUGACGCAGCCGUUACUAAAGGUUCGUUUGUUCAACGAUUA
rnacentral:rRNA from 1 species